rnacentral:rRNA from 1 species
UACAGAGGUCUCAAGCGUUGUUCGGAUUCAUUGGGCGUAAAGGGUGCGUAGGCGGCGCGGUAAGUCGGGUGUGAAAUCUUGGAGCUUAACUCCGAAACUGCAUUCGAUACUGCCGUGCUUGAGGACUGGAGAGGAGACUGGAAUUUACGGUGUAGCGGUGAAAUGCGUAGAUAUCGGGAGGAACACCAGUGGCGAAGGCGACUUCCUGGCCUGUUCUUGACGCUGAGGCGCGAAAGCUAGGGGAGCAAACGGG